rnacentral:rRNA from 1 species
UACGUAGGGACCAAGCGUUGUUCGGAUUUACUGGGCGUAAAGGGCGCGUAGGCGGCGUGACAAGUCAAUUGUGAAAUCUCCGGGCUUAACUCGGAACGGUCAAUUGAUACUGUUGUGCUAGAGUACAGAAGGGGCAAUCGGAAUUCUUGGUGUAGCGGUGAAAUGCGUAGAUAUCAAGAGGAACACCUGAGGUGAAGACGGGUUGCUAGGCUGAUACUGACGCUGAGGCGCGAAAGCUAGGGUAGCAAACGGG